rnacentral:rRNA from 1 species
GUCCACGCUGUAAACGAUGAUCACUCGUUGUUAGCGAUAUACUGUUAGCGACUGAGGGAAACCAUUAAGUGAUCCACCUGGGGAGUACGGCGGCAACGUUGAAACUCAAAGGAAUUGACGGGGGCCCGCACAAGCGGAGGAGCAUGUGGUUUAAUUCGAUGAUACGCGAGGAACCUUACCUGGGCUUAAAUGUAGGACGACGUAUGCCGAAAGGCGUAUUUCCUUCGGGACGUCUUACAAGGUGCUGCAUGGUUGUCGU